UUACGGCCAUAUCAUACUGAAACACCAGCUCUCGUAUGAUCACCAAAAUUAAGCAACGUCGAGCUUGGUCAUUACCUAGAUGGGUGACCGCCUGGGAAUAUCAGGUACUGUAAG